GCUAAUAAAUUUAUAUUGUCUUAAAGGGACAACAGUAAGAGACUACCUGAAAAAAAAAAUGUUUUCCUGAAAACCUGGAGCAUUCUGAACACACAGGUCUGCUUUCCUCAUCCUCACACGAUGCAGUUUCUGCAGGUUCAAAGCCAUCCUCCCCGAUGGGCUGAUAUGAGGCUUUUGAACACAUUACUUCACAGAAUGCAGCUGCUGCAUCCAAGUUAUGUGAAGACAUUGUCAUUGAUGUCCCAGAAGAGCAGGAACCUCCCGAUACAAGCCAACAUCAAGACUUGGAAGACACAGUUGCUUCACAGGAUACACUUUCUGAGGCCAAGCUAUCUGAAGAUGUCAUGACUGAUAUCCCAGAAGAGCAGAAGGAGCCCCCAACCCAUCAAUUUUCUUAAAGGUUCCACAAUCCUCUUUGUGUGUAGGCUCAAGAUCUGGACAGUUCAAAAUAAUUUAGAAAUAUUUUACCAAGAAAAUGCAAAAGAUGUAAAUCUUGGCUUGUGAUGUUUUGAAGUGGAAAAAAUUUUUAAAAAUGAAUAUAAUCUGGAGUAUAUUUUAAAAAAUAGACAUCCUGAGUAACUUUGAUCAUGUUAGUUUGAAAACUAGAUUUGAGACCAAAGAUGUUGGAUAUUUUUGUGGCUGUUGUAGGAUUUCAUUGUCUGCAUUGAAAUGUUCCUUGCGGCCACUGCCCAUCAUUAUUCGUUCUCCUAUAAUCCCUAUAUGCGAGAGGCAGAGGAAUUCUCUUGCUUUGGCUCUCCUGGCUAUGUGGGAUGUGUCAGAUUUCAGAGAUGAUAUUUCUGAACAAAUAAGACGUGUGGGGAGAACAAUGCGAGUGUAUCAGAAAAAAAAGUUUCCCUGAAGACCCAGAACAUAGUGAACACACAAGUCUGCUUUCCUCAUCGUCACAAGAUGCAGUUUCUGCAGGUUCAAAGCCAUGCUCAGCCGUGGGCCAAUAUCAGGCCUUUGCACGCACGAUUACUUCACAGAAUGCAGCUGCUGCAUCCAAGUUAUGUGAAGACAUUGUCAUUGAUGUCCCAGAAGAGCAGGAACCUCCUGAUACAAGCCAACAUCAAGACUUGGAAGACACAGUUGCUUCACAGGAUACACUUUCUGAGGCCAAGCUAUCUGAAGAUGUCAUGACUGAUAUCCCAGAAGAGCAGAAGGAGCCCCCAACCCAUCAAUGGAUUCUUAAAGCCCUUAGAGCCAAUCCUUAUCCCGAAGUUACGGAUCCGGCUUGCCGACUUCCCUUACCUACAUUGUUCCAACAUGCCAGAGGCUGUUCACCUUGGAGACCUGCUGCGGAUAUGGGUACGGCCCGGCGCGAGAUUUACACCCUCU